GGGGGUGUAGCUCAGUGGUAGAGCAUUUGACUGCAGAUAACAAGGUUCCUGGUUCAAAUCCAGGUGUCCCCU